CUUCUGGACACUGCACUUGUAAAGGGAGACAUUUGCCUUUCAACCCAUCUUCUGGACAGACAACCCCACUUUACUUAAUGAGGACUCUGCUAACCUCUGGCUGUAGAGAGAGGGGCCUACCUGAAGGACACCACUCCCGUAUUUACAGGAUCCACACCAAAAACACAACUUGACUGAUGAUGUAACCAAUCCAAUCGAUGAGUGGCUUGGAAAUGGCUUUUUCAGAACCCUCUCAAAGUGGCAUUUUCCAGAAACACAGUCCCCUCUGCUCC
rnacentral:lncRNA from 1 species